GCGUCGUGGCGGCGUGUAUAUACAUGCAAGUCGAGCGAACUGAUUAGAAGCUUGCUUCUAUGACGUUAGCGGCGGACGGGUGAGUAACACGUGGGCAACCUGCCUGUAAGACUGGGAUAACUUCGGGAAACCGAAGCUAAUACCGGAUAGGAUCUUCUCCUUCAUGGGAGAUGAUUGAAAGAUGGUUUCGGCUAUCACUUACAGAUGGGCCCGCGGUGCAUUAGCUAGUUGGUGAGGUAACGGCUCACCAAGGCAACGAUGCAUAGCCGACCUGAGAGGGUGAUCGGCCACACUGGGACUGAGACACGGCCCAGACUCCUACGGGAGGCAGCAGUAGGGAAUCUUCCGCAAUGGACGAAAGUCUGACGGAGCAACGCCGCGUGAGUGAUGAAGGCUUUCGGGUCGUAAAACUCUGUUGUUAGGGAAGAACAAGUACAAGAGUAACUGCUUGUACCUUGACGGUACCUAACCAGAAAGCCACGGCUAACUACGUGCCAGCAGCCGCGGUAAUACGUAGGUGGCAAGCGUUAUCCGGAAUUAUUGGGCGUAAAGCGCGCGCAGGCGGUUUCUUAAGUCUGAUGUGAAAGCCCACGGCUCAACCGUGGAGGGUCAUUGGAAACUGGGGAACUUGAGUGCAGAAGAGAAAAGCGGAAUUCCACGUGUAGCGGUGAAAUGCGUAGAGAUGUGGAGGAACACCAGUGGCGAAGGCGGCUUUUUGGUCUGUAACUGACGCUGAGGCGCGA
rnacentral:rRNA from 1 species